UCUCCGUAGGUGAACCUGCGGAGGGAUCAUUACAGAGUUCAUGCCCUACCGGGUAGAUCUCCCACCCUAUGUUAUUAUUACUUUGUUGCUUUGGCGGGCCGUUAGGCUCCGGCCCGACUACCGGCCCCGGCUGGUAAGCGCCCGCCAGAGGACCCAAAGCCCUGAAUAUUAGUGUCGUCUGAGUACUAUAUAAUAGUUAAAACUUUCAACAACGGAUCUCUUGGUUCUG
rnacentral:misc_RNA from 1 species